rnacentral:rRNA from 1 species
GUUCUCUCCGAAAUAUAUUUAGGUAUAGCGUCAUGUAGUAACACUGGGGGGUAGAGCACUGAAUGGGCUAGGGCAUACACCAAUGUACCAAACCCUAUCAAACUCCGAAUACCUAGUGUGUAAUCAUGGCAGUCAGGCGGCGAGUGAUAAAAUCCGUCGUCGAGAGGGGAACAACCCAGACUAACAGCUAAGGUCCCUAAAUCUCAUUUAAGUGGAAAACGAUGUGGAGUUACUUAAACAACCAGGAGGUUGGCUUAGAAGCAGCCAUCCUUUAAAGAAAGCGUAAUAGCUCACUGGUCUAGUGAUUCUGCGCGGAAAAUAUAACGGGGCUAAAAUGAGUACCGAAGCUUUAGACUUAGUUUUACUAAGUGGUAGGAGAGCGUUGCAUUCAGCGUCGAAGGUGUACCGGUAAGGAGCGCUGGAGCGAAUGCAAGUGAGCAUGCAGGCAUGAGUAGCGAUAAUUGGGGUGAGAAUCCCCAACGCCGUAAACCCAAGGUUUCCUACGCGAUGCUCGUCAUCGUAGGGUUAGCCGGGUCCUAAGCAAAGUCCGAAAGGGGUAUGCGAUGGAAAAUUGGUUAAUAUUCCAAUGCCAACUAUAAUGUGCGAUGGAAGGACGCUUAGAGUUAAGCAAGCUAGCGGAUGGUAGUGCUAGUCGAAAGGUGUAGGUUAAGAUCCAGGCAAAUCCGGAUCUUUUUAAGCCGAGACCCCACAGGCGUUUGAAGUUCUUCGGAAUGGAUAGCGAAUUGCUGAUACUGUCGAGCCAAGAAAAGUUUCUAAGUUUAGUUAUAGUUGCCCGUACCGUAAACCGACACAGGUGGGUGGGAUGAGUAUUCUAAGGCGCGUGGAAGAACUCUCUUCAAGGAACUCUGCAAAAUAGCACCGUAUCUUCGGUAUAAGGUGUGCCUAACUUUGUGAAGGAUUUACUCCGUAAGCAUUGAAGGUUACAACAAAGAGUCCCUCCCGACUGUUUACCAAAAACACAGCACUCUGCUAACUCGUAAGAGGAUGUAUAGGGUGUGACGCCUGCCCGGUGCUCGAAGGUUAAUUGAUGACGUUAGCUCUGCGAAGCGUUUGAUCGAAGCCCGAGUAAACGGCGGCCGUAACUAUAACGGUCCUAAGGUAGCGAAAUUCCUUGUCGAUUAAAUAUCGACCUGCAUGAAUGGCGUAACGAGAUGGGAGCUGUCUCGAAGAGGGAUCCAGUGAAAUUGUAGUGGAGGUGAAAAUUCCUCCUACCCGCGGCAAGACGGAAAGACCCCGUGGACCUUUACUACAGCUUGACACUGCUAUUGGGAUAAAAAUGUGCAGGAUAGGUGGGAGGCUUUGAUCCAUAGACGCCAGUUUAUGGUGAGCCGUUGUUGAGAUACCACUCUUUUUUAUUCUGAUAGCUAACUAGCUUGAGUUAUCCUCAAGUAGGACAAUGUCUGGUGGGUAGUUUGACUGGGGCGGUCGCCUCCCAAAAUGUAACGGAGGCUUACAAAGGUUGGCUCAGAACGGUUGGAAAUCGUUCGCAGAGUAUAAAGGCAAAAGCCAGCUUAACUGCGAGACAUACACGUCAAGCAGGGACGAAAGUCGGUCUUAGUGAUCCGGUGGUUCUGAGUGGAAGGGCCAUCGCUCAAAGGAUAAAAGGUACCCCGGGGAUAACAGGCUGAUCUCCCCCAAGAGCUCACAUCGACGGGGAGGUUUGGCACCUCGAUGUCGGCUCAUCGCAUCCUGGGGCUGUAGUCGGUCCCAAGGGUUGGGCUGUUCGCCCAUUAAAGCGGUACGCGAGCUGGGUUCAGAACGUCGUGAGACAGUUCGGUCCCUAUCUGUCGCAGGCGCAGGAUAUUUGAAAGGAGCUGUCCUUAGUACGAGAGGACCAGGAUGGACAUACCAAUGGUGCAACAGUUGUCACACCAGUGGCACAGCUGUGUAGCUAAGUAUGGAAGGGAUAAACGCUGAAAGCAUCUAAGCGUGAAGCCCCCCUUAAGAUAAGAUAUCCCACAACGUCAAGUUGG